UACGUAGGGGGCUAGCGUUGUCCGGAAUCAUUGGGCGUAAAGCGCGCGUAGGCGGCCCGGUAAGUCCGCUCUGAAAGUCCAGGGCUCAACCCUGGAAUGCGGGUGGAUACUGCCGGGCUAGAGUCCGGAAGAGGCGAGUGGAAUUCCUGGUGUAGCGGUGGAAUGCGCAGAUAUCAGGAGGAACACCAUAGCGAAGGCAGCUCGCUGGGACGGUACUGACGCUAAGGCGCGAAAGCGUG
rnacentral:rRNA from 1 species